UACAGAGGGUGCGAGCGUUAAUCGGAAUUACUGGGCGUAAAGCGCGCGUAGGCGGCUUUGCAAGUCGGGUGUGAAAUCCCCAGGCUUAACCUGGGAACUGCAUUCGAGACUGCAUUGCUAGAGUAUGGGAGAGGGAAGUGGAAUUUCCGGUGUAGCGGUGAAAUGCGUAGAUAUCGGAAGGAACACCGAUGGCGAAAGCAGCGCGCUGGACCUCUUCUGACGCUGAGGCGCGAAAGCCAGGGGAGCAAACGGG
rnacentral:rRNA from 1 species